rnacentral:rRNA from 1 species
AUGGACCAUUCCAUCCCUAAUUCCCGUCGCUAUGCAUCGGAGUCGGUCGAUGAAGGUUUCGUGGAAGAAGUUGAUGAGGAGGUGUUCACGGUGAAGGAGAUUGAAGCUUUCCAGAAGGUAUUCCGACGGGAUCACCGGACCCCAUUGUUCAAGGAUAUUAGUCUCGCGGAUGAAGCCGUGGUAGACGGUGGCAAAGGUAUAUUUCUUGGAGUUAUGCCAACUUCUCACCGGGAUUUGUAG